rnacentral:rRNA from 1 species
GACGAACGCUGGCGGCGUGCCUAAUACAUGCAAGUUGAGCGCUGAAGGUUGGUACUUGUACCAACUGGAUGAGCAGCGAACGGGUGAGUAACGCGUGGGGAAUCUGCCUUUGAGCGGGGGACAACAUUUGGAAACGAAUGCUAAUACCGCAUAAAAACUUUAAACACAAGUUUUAAGUUUGAAAGAUGCAAUUGCAUCACUCAAAGAUGAUCCCGCGUUGUAUUAGCUAGUUGGUGAGGUAAAGGCUCACCAAGGCGAUGAUACAUAGCCGACCUGAGAGGGUGAUCGGCACCAUUGGGACUGAGACACGGCCCAAAAUCCUACGGGAGGCAGCAGUAGGGAAUCUUCGGCAAUGGACGAAAGUCUGACCGAGCAACGCCGCGUGAGUGAAGAAGGUUUUCGGAUCGUAAAAAUCUGUUGGUAGAGAAGAACGUUGGUGAGAGUGGAAAGCUCAUCAAGUGACGGUAACUACCCAGAAAGGGACGGCUAACUACGUG